CACGUAGUCGGCUUUGCAAGUCGGUUGUGAAAUCCCCGGGCUCAGCCUGGGAACUGCAUCCGAGACUGCAUUGCUAGAGUAUGGGAGAGGAAAGCGGAAUUUCUGGUGUAGCAGUGAAAUGCGUAGAUAUCAGAAGGAACAUCAGUGGCGAAGGCGGCUUUCUGGACCAAUACUGACGAUCAGGUGCGAAAGCGUGGGGAGCAAACA
rnacentral:rRNA from 1 species